UACGGAAGGGGCGAGCGUUGUUCGGAAUCAUUGGGCGUAAAGAGCUCGUAGGCGGUUUGUUGCGUCGGCUGUGAAAUCCCGAGGCUCAACCUCGGGUCUGCAGUCGAUACGAGCAAACUAGAGUGUUGCAGGGGAGACUGGAAUUCCUGGUGUAGCGGUGAAAUGCGCAGAUAUCAGGAGGAACACCGGUGGCGAAGGCGGGUCUCUGGGCAACAACUGACGCUGAGGAGCGAAAGCGUGGGGAGCGAACAGG
rnacentral:rRNA from 1 species